GAUGAACGCUGGCGGCGUGCCUAAUACAUGCAAGUCGAGCGAACGGACGAGAAGCUUGCUUCUCUGAUGUUAGCGGCGGACGGGUGAGUAACACGUGGAUAACCUACCUAUAAGACUGGGAUAACUUCGGGAAACCGUAGCUAAUACCGGAUAAUAUUUUGAACCGCAUGGUUCAAAAGUGAAAGACGGUCUUGCUGUCACUUAUAGAUGGAUCCGCGCUGCAUUAGCUAGUUGGUAAGGUAACGGCUUACCAAGGCAACGAUGCAUAGCCGACCUGAGAGGGUGAUCGGCCACACUGGAACUGAGACACGGACCAGACUCCUACGGGAGGCAGCAGUAGGGAAUCUUCCGCAAUGGGCGAAAGCCUGACGGAGCAACGCCGCGUGAGUGAUGAAGGUCUUCGGAUCGUAAAACUCUGUUAUUAGGGAAGAACAUAUGUGUAAGUAACUGUGCACAUCUUGACGGUACCUAAUCAGAAAGCCACGGCUAACUACGUG
rnacentral:rRNA from 1 species